UACGUAGGGUGCAAGCGUUAAUCGGAAUUACUGGGCGUAAAGCGUGCGCAGGCGGUUUUGUAAGACAGAUGUGAAAUCCCCGGGCUUAACCUGGGAAUUGCAUUUGUGACUGCCCGGCUAGAGUUUGGCAGAGGGGGGUAGAAUUCCACGUGUAGCAGUGAAAUGCGUAGAUAUGUGGAGGAAUACCGAUGGCGAAGGCAGCCCCCUGGGUCAAGACUGACGCUCAUGCACGAAAGCGUGGGGAGCAAACAGG
rnacentral:rRNA from 1 species